AUAUCAAUAAGCGGAGGAAAAGAAACUAACAAGGAUUCCCCUAGUAACGGCGAGUGAAGCGGGAUGAGCUCAAAUUUAAAAUCUGGCUGGUUUACCAGUCCGAGUUGUAGUUUAAAGAAGCGUUUUCGGUGGCAGUCUCGGUAUAAAUCCUUUGGAACAGGGUAUCAUAGAGGGUGAGAAUCCCGUCUUUGACUGAGAAUAUGCUACUAUGUGAUACGUUUUCAAAGAGUCGAGUUGUUUGGGAAUGCAGCUCAAAAUGGGUGGUAAAUUUCAUCUAAAGCUAAAUAUUGGCGAGAGACCGAUAGCGAACAAGUACCGUGAGGGAAAGAUGAAAAGAACUUUGAAAAGAGAGUUAAACAGUGCGUGAAAUUGUUGAAAGGGAAACGCUUGAAACCAGUCAUGCGGUUGGGAAAUCAGUCUCUGACGGGGGGGAAUGGAGGAGGUGUGGACCGCAAGGCCGCUCUUUUUCAUAUCUUUCUUGGCAGGGAUGCACUUUUUCUUCUGCAGGUCAACAUCAGUUUGCUUUGCCGGACAAAACUCUUGGGAAGGUGACAGCUUAGGCUGUGUUAUAGCCCUUGAGCGAUACGGUGGAGCGGACUGAGGUUUUCGCAGCAUGUGCUCUCGGGCAAGGCUGAUUGGGUGCUAUGAGAUCGUUCAGGGUACAAUACAUGUAUUUUGCCUUGUGUCUUUUUUAUACUCGCUCAACUCGGCUCUUCCAUGCUUAGGAUGUUGACAUAAUGGUUUUAAUCGA
rnacentral:rRNA from 1 species